GGAGUUGGAAUAUAUACAAGGGACUUCUUUUAUUUUAGAAUUAAAGCUUAUGUAUCUUUAUUAGUUAGAAAGAAUGUAAGACUAUUUAUCGACCUUAUAUUUGAAUAUUUUUCUACUAAGAGUAGAUUAGAGUUUGUUUAUGACUUUACCAUAGAUAGAUUAAAACAUGAGCAGUUGAUUUUUUUUUGGCAAGAACCUGAUAUUCUUAUUUAAAAUUAAAAUAUUAAUUUUGAUUACUAGAAAUAAAGGUUUUG
rnacentral:lncRNA from 1 species